UACAGAGGGUGCGAGCGUUAAUCGGAAUUACUGGGCGUAAAGCGUGCGUAGACGGUUAUUUAAGUCGGAUGUGAAAGCCCCGGGCUCAACCUGGGAAUUGCAUUCGAGACUGAAUAGCUAGGGUGCGGUAGAGGGAAGCGGAAUUUCCGGUGUAGCGGUGAAAUGCGUAGAUAUCGGAAGGAACAUCAGUGGCGAAAGCGGCUUCCUGGACCAGAACCGACGUUCAGGCACGAAAGCGUGGGGAGCAAACAGG
rnacentral:rRNA from 1 species